AACCAUAGAAACCUGCGGAGUACCUGCGGAAGGAUCAUUACAGAGUUGCAAAACUCCCUAAACCAUUGUGAACGUUACCUAAACCGUUGCUUCGGCGGGCGGCCCGGGUCCUUCCCGGCGCCCCUCGGCCCUCGCGGGCGCCCGCCGGAGGUAAACCAAACUAUUGCAUUGUAUGGCCUCUCUGAGUCUUCUGCACUGAAUAAGUCAAAACUUUCAACAAUGGAUCUCAGAUCGGAAGAG
rnacentral:misc_RNA from 1 species